AGAGUUUGAUCAUGGCUCAGAUUGAACGCUGGCGGCAGGCCUAACACAUGCAAGUCGAGCGGUAGCACAGAGAGCUUGCUCUCGGGUGACGAGCGGCGGACGGGUGAGUAAUGUCUGGGAAACUGCCUGAUGGAGGGGGAUAACUACUGGAAACGGUAGCUAAUACCGCAUAAUGUCGCAAGACCAAAGUGGGGGACCUUCGGGCCUCAUGCCAUCAGAUGUGCCCAGAUGGGAUUAGCUAGUAGGUGGGGUAACGGCUCACCUAGGCGACGAUCCCUAGCUGGUCUGAGAGGAUGACCAGCCACACUGGAACUGAGACACGGUCCAGACUCCUACGGGAGGCAGCAGUGGGGAAUAUUGCACAAUGGGCGCAAGCCUGAUGCAGCCAUGCCGCGUGUGUGAAGAAGGCCUUCGGGUUGUAAAGCACUUUCAGCGGGGAGGAAGGCGNCGAUUGACGUUACCCGCAGAAGAAGCACCGGCUAACUCCGUGCCAGCAGCCGCGGUAAUACGGAGGGUGCAAGCGUUAAUCGGAAUUACUGGGCGUAAAGCGCACGCAGGCGGUCUGUCAAGUCGGAUGUGAAAUCCCCGGGCUCAACCUGGGAACUGCAUUCGAAACUGGCAGGCUAGAGUCUUGUAGAGGGGGGUAGAAUUCCAGGUGUAGCGGUGAAAUGCGUAGAGAUCUGGAGGAAUACCGGUGGCGAAGGCGGCCCCCUGGACAAAGACUGACGCUCAGGUGCGAAAGCGUGGGGAGCAAACAGGAUUAGAUACCCUGGUAGUCCACGCCGUAAACGAUGUCGAUUUGGAGGUUGUGCCCUUGAGGCGUGGCUUCCGGAGCUAACGCGUUAAAUCGACCGCCUGGGGAGUACGGCCGCAAGGUUAAAACUCAAAUGAAUUGACGGGGGCCCGCACAAGCGGUGGAGCAUGUGGUUUAAUUCGAUGCAACGCGAAGAACCUUACCUGGUCUUGACAUCCACAGAACUUUCCAGAGAUGGAUUGGUGCCUUCGGGAACUGUGAGACAGGUGCUGCAUGGCUGUCGUCAGCUCGUGUUGUGAAAUGUUGGGUUAAGUCCCGCAACGAGCGCAACCCUUAUCCUUUGUUGCCAGCGGUUCGGCCGGGAACUCAAAGGAGACUGCCAGUGAUAAACUGGAGGAAGGUGGGGAUGACGUCAAGUCAUCAUGGCCCUUACGACCAGGGCUACACACGUGCUACAAUGGCAUAUACAAAGAGAAGCGACCUCGCGAGAGCAAGCGGACCUCAUAAAGUAUGUCGUAGUCCGGAUUGGAGUCUGCAACUCGACUCCAUGAAGUCGGAAUCGCUAGUAAUCGUAGAUCAGAAUGCUACGGUGAAUACGUUCCCGGGCCUUGUACACACCGCCCGUCACACCAUGGGAGUGGGUUGCAAAAGAAGUAGGUAGCUUAACCUUCGGGAGGGCGCUUACCACUUUGUGAUUCAUGACUGGGGUGAAGUCGUAACAAGGUAACCGUAGGGGAACCUGCGGUUGGAUCACCU
rnacentral:rRNA from 1 species